GCUUCGAAACCUCGGCACGUCUCGUAGCAUCACUACUGAGGAGAGAGACUCGCACAGCGGUUAGUAAAACAUGCUGAGCGAGGAGUUCCCGCAGGGCCUUGACCUAACCAAGGCAAACUGGACCCUGCGUGUUGUCACUGACAAGAGCAAAACCGAGGGCAUCGAGGUGAAGAAAGACACGGAGAGAAUGGACCAGAUUAAAGCCAUUAAAAAGUCCUGGGAAACGGCUGAGCCAGGACGCGCUGCCAAGGUGUGUGGAGGCUGGUGGCAGGUGUGGUGCAUCAGCUAAUCAGCUGACUGUGCAGGAGGAAGUCGGCGUUUCAUUCACUCCGGCUCUCCCAUAAAACCCGACGCCACUCGUCCCUUGAUGCUGGACUAUCUUCUAUCCUCCAUGUUGACUUCUGCCUGCCUAUGGGUCUCUGAUCUUCCUGGUUCCAUCGUGGUUGCCUGUCUCUCGGUUCCUCUGUGGAUUCUGCUCCGUCUGAAGGAUUCACCUGUCACCUGCCCUCCCCUGAAAGAGCAUACUUACCGGAUCACCUGGAAAGCUCUGGGCUGUCGGAUGUCAUUCCACCUGCUCAGCCACACCCCCACUGCCUGGACUGCAGAGAGCCUGUCCUCUUCCAAUACUGGACAAUUCCCCUGUCGUUGCUUUAGAGUGUCGUCUCAAGUUUCUCAACCGAGUCCAGCAUAAAGCCACUGAUGGAGCUGCUGCCGACGAAAGCAAAGAACCGGCUGCAGAUCCAGAUACCUCUCUGUCCAUCUGAUCAGAAACUGAGUGACACCACCAGCUCCUGUCCUCACAUGGACUUCAGUCACCUCAUCAGACGCCAGAAGGAUUUGCCAGUGCUGAUGGACUCACAGAGGGAGCGCUUAGAAGAGAUCCAGGCCUACCGGCUGCUGCAAGGCAAUGUGCUGGAGCAACGUAAACAGCAAGCACUGAAGAGGAAGGAGCUAAUAAGACUUCAGAAGGAGAUGUAUGAGAACAUCAAGCACCGGGAUCAGAAAUUACUUGAUUCUUACAAAGCAUUUUGUAGCAGUCACAUGGUGGCCAUGAAAAAGGAAGAAGAGAAAGAAGCUCAGGAGGAGGCCGGAGCAGCAGAUUAGUAGGCUUUAAUGUGUGUUAAAGUGCAAUUUAUCUGCAGUUUAGUUUAGUGCUUAGAAUGGAUUGUGAUUUUAUGAUAUGCAUUGUGGACAAUAAAUAUUAACAUUUAUACA
ensembl:lncRNA